rnacentral:lncRNA from 1 species
GGCCUUGAGUGUUAGUAAGAACACUACAAUAUUUGUUGAAUAAAUAAUCUAUCCAGAAAGAUGUCUCACUAUUCACAAGAUGAGAAGACAAAGAAUGGGACUUUAAAAAGAAUCCCUCAUUGGAAGCAAAGAACAAAAAGGGCAUGUAACACCUUCCAGACAGCAAGAUUUAAUGAGAUCCUAAAUGCCGAAGACUUCACCUGAUAGAGGCUCAACAUUCCCACCUAACUUUUAAAGAUACAACAAUCAAACUUACAACUGAAUUCUAGCUGCAAAACAUAUUGAUUGACAUCAUUGUCCAUAAUAUAUUGAAACGGUCAGCUAUUGUCUUGCUCCUCUCCGCCAGUUGCAAAGCACUCUUUAAAAAUCAAUUGCCUUCUCCCUGUGCAGAAUUGCCAGAAGUAGAUAUCUGAUGCCUGA